AAACACUGUGUUGGGCAGCGCUAAUGAUGGUUUGUGGUGCGAGAGGCAGGAGCACUAUGGUGUUAGGCAGUGUUGAUAACGGUGUGGGGUGUGAGUGGAAGGUGCGCUGUGGUGUUUGGCCUGUUUUUGGCUUCGUGGAAGCUUAGUUAGUGCAACAGAUUGAACGGUGGACUGAUUUGGCACAACGUUGUUUGAAGAUUGAUCAAGUAGUUCGAGACAUGGGUGUUGAUCUCGAAGGUUAUGACUCUAGAUGUGAAGUCCUAUGGCUCAUGUGAUAUAUUUGUAAUAAGCUGGAAAUGAUUGACAUCUA